rnacentral:rRNA from 1 species
UGCCAGCCGCCGCGGUAAUACGGAGAGGGCAAGCGUUGUUCGGAAUCACUGGGCAUAAAGCGCACGCAGGCGGAUUGGAAAGUCGGUUGUGAAAGCCCGGGGCUCAACUCCGGAACUGCUUCCGAAACUUCCAGUCUAGAGGAUGAGAGGGGAGAGUGGAACUUCUGGUGGAGCGGUGAAAUGCGUAGAGAUCAGAAGGAACACCGGUGGCGAAAGCGACUCUCUGGCUCAUUUCUGACGCUCAGGUGCGAAAGCGUGGGGAGCAAACAGGAUUAGAUA